rnacentral:rRNA from 1 species
GAUGAACGCUGGCGGCGUGCCUAACACAUGCAAGUCGAGCGAACGGACGAGAAGCUUUCUUCUCUGAGGUUAUCGGCGGACGGGUGAUGAACACGUGGAUAACCUACCUAUCAGACUGGGAUAAUAUCGGGAAACCGGAGCUAAUACCGGAUCAUAUUUUGAAUCUGGUUGUUCAAAAGUAAGAUACGGUCUUUGUGUCGGUGAUAGAUGGAUCCGGGCUGGAUUAGCUAGUUGGUAGGGGAAUGGCUUACCAAGGCAACGACGCAUAGCCGCCCCGAAAGGGUGAUCGGCCACCCUGGCACGGAGACACGGCCGCGACUCCUACGCGGGGAAGCAGUCGGGACUCUUACGCGAUGGAGGAAAGCCUGAUGGUGCAAAGCCGCGUGAAUGAUGAAGGUCUUCGGCUGGUAAAACUCUGUUAUCAGGGAAGAAGAUAUGUGUAAGUAACUGUGAACAUCUUGACGGUACCUAAUCAGAAAGCCCCGGCUAACUACGUG